GUUAUUUUCUCAAAUUUGUAUCAUUUUUUGAAAAUACUUGAAUAUUUAUUAAACUGACCAUUUUAUUAUUUUAAUGAAAUCUACGUACAAUUCCCAAUAAUACUGUAUACAUUUCAGCCCUUCCAUUAACUUGUUCACCUGGUGCAAUAUUGACAAUAAUGAAUCAAGGGAGACGAAAAACAUUGAAAAAACAAAGUGUUACUGAACCUCAAGUUAUUACUACCUACAACAAUCACUCUUAAAGACUUACAAUUUAAAAUACGGAAGUUGUGUAGUGUUGCAAUAUUACAAUAACGUAUUAUUGUCAUUUUAUAUUUUAGUCUACAUCCUGGGCCUGAACAACACAUGAAUAAAUAUACAAAGUAAAUAUACAUAACAACUGCUAUUUGUUACCAACAACUUGAGGUCAUUCUUAUCAAACUUCUGAUUGGUAUUCAUCAACACGAAUCAGGCAUUAAAUAAACCUAUUGUGUCUGAAUCAUAUACAGUUUAAAUUAUUAUAAGCAUUUAUAUUAUUGUUUCCACACAUCAUAAUGGCCUUCUGAAAAUGUAUAUCAGCUAACAGUACAUCAUUGAUUUAGCAGGAUGCAAUUGAUGGCUAUCCAGCGACAACACCGAGAACACGACACCCAUUCUACAUAUUCAUCAUCCAGUGGACAACGGUGCCUAUCUGAGUGCCAGUUACAGUAUAAGCAUAUGUUUGUCAUGUCUUCAGAAUUCUCUAAUAGAUAGGUCUUUAAAUAUUCUCUAUAAGUGUUAGGAUCGAACUCUAAACUGAACUUGGAAUUGUCCAUAAAUUUAAAUGCGUAAUAUAUAAUAUAAACUCCACAAUUAAAUGCAUCAUUUUGUUUUGGAACAUUUUCAAACGGGCAUGGAAUCUGUGUUAACGAUGGACAUUCAUGUGUGCCGUCACCGUAGAUGACAUCUGAUUUCAAAAUUUUAAAUACUUUAUUGAAACGAUCUUUUGAUGCUCGACUCUCUGUAUCAUAUGGACUAAUCGGGUCCAUGAUAUAACACUCUUUGGUGUUGAAAUUUAUAAAGACUAUAAUCCAAUGUCUACCAAUUAACCAUGGCAGGAUAACCAUACUGUUCUGAUUGAAAGUAAUUUUGUUAUGCACUUCCCCAACUACUCUUUUUCCCAAUAGCCAUGCAACAUCAUUGCAUGAUAAAAUGUGUGUGUUUUCUAAGCGCAGAUUAAAAGCGUAUGACAACAAACAAAUAUCUAUAACAAAGUUACACAACCAAUUUUCUUCAGACAAUGUAUCAAAAUCUGGGAAAUACAGGUCGUCCAAGAUGUUACAAUUUUUAUAAAUAGAUAAUAAGUAACUAUAUUUUACA